AUACUUAACCUGGCAGGGGAGAUACCAUGAUCACGAGGGUGGUUUUCCCAGGGCAAGGCUUAUCCAUUGCACUCCGGAUGUUCUGACCCCUGCGAUUUCUCCAAAUACCGGAAACUCAACUGCAUAUUUUGUGGUAGUGGGGGACUGCGUUCCCACUCUCCCCUG
rnacentral:snRNA from 1 species